UUUUGGCCGAAAAUUAGGUGUUUUUCCGGCUCUCGGCGCCAGCCGAGAGCCGGCAUUUUGGAGCUUUUUCGGCUCUCGGCGCGAGCCGAGAGCCGCACAGCACUGGUGGCUAACCAAAAAUAGUAAAACUGAUCAUAUUCCUUAUGAAAA
ensembl:ncRNA ZK858.9 ncRNA